rnacentral:rRNA from 1 species
AGCGAACGCUGGCGGCAGGCCUAACACAUGCAAGUCGAGCGCCCCGCAAGGGGAGCGGCAGACGGGAGAGUAACACGUGGGAACAUGCCCUUCAGUACGGAACAACCAAGGGAAACUUUGGCUAAUACCGUAUACGCCCGUAAGGGGAAAGAUUUAUCGCUGAAGGAUUGGCCCGCGUCUGAUUAGCUGUUGGUGGGGUAAUGGCCCACCAAGGCGACGAUCAGUAGCUGGUCUGAGAGGAUGAUCAGCCUCACUGGGACUGAGACACGGCCCAGGCUCCUACGGGAGGCAGCAGUGGGGAAUAUUGGACAAUGGGCGCAAGCCUGGUCCAGCCAUGCCGCGUGAGUGAUGAAGGCCUUAGGGUUGUAAAGCUCUUUCGUCAGGGAAGAUAAUGACGGUACCUGAAGAAGAAGCCCCGGCUAACUUCGUGCCAGCAGCCGCGGUAACAC